CUUCGCCCUGCCCGUCGAGUUUGGCGCUGUUGGCGGCGCUCCGUGAGGGGAGCGCGUCCCUGCGGGCGCCCCGGCUGCUCCCCUCAGCCCCGCGGCGCCACAGGCAGCGCCUUCCUCCGGUGCGUUUCACCCAGAAACAUCCUCCAGACUGGCAGAAAAUCGGGGGAGCUGCUGGCUGACACCCCUCUUUCUUCAUGCCUCAUCCCAACUCCAUCGGUGGCCCCGCUCUCCUGGAUCCUGCCACGCUCAGGAAACGAGCAGCAAUUAGAGGAGGCUGAUGAGCACACCCGGACAAUCCUGCGUGCAAUGAAGAUUUCUCUCCGCGUCUGAAAGGCUGGUUUGGGGAGGGGGCAGGGUGAGACAGCUAAAAAAAAAUAAAAUCAGAUGACUCCAGCA